rnacentral:lncRNA from 1 species
AUCUUUCUUCCUUACUAUCCUUUUUUUUCUCUCUCACGCCAACAACCUAUGGCUGUGGUCCCAUGGACACUUCUCUCUCUCUCUCUCUCUUUAAAAAGCCUCUUUGGUUUCUCUCGUAUCCCUUUUCUUCUAUUUUGGGGUUUGGAUCCUUUAUUCGUUUCUCGAAAAUCUGAAAGUCAUUGUAAUUUUCAUCUUAUAUUUUAAUUCUUGUUUGCGAUUCAUGAUUUUGGCCUAUAUCUUGGUUUUGAAUAUAAAUAUGAUAUGACCCCAAUUUUUUGCCAUCGCCAACUUAUGAUCCCAGAUCUAUUAUGGAUAAAAAAGCUUGCACCGUGUUGUGGACCACACAUUUGAAAUGAUGAUGAGCUAUGAGAAUGUUGUAUUUUAAAGAAUAUUGUGAUGGAUCUGGUGAUGUGUUUUUUUUCAUUUUCAAUUUUGUGCUGAUUUUUCUAAAUCUCCAUUAGUUUGUGUUUUGUGACAUAAUUAAUUGACUGAUUCACAAUUUUACUAUUUUUAUAAUAUUGUGGUUAUCAUUUUCGGCGACUGUGAGGGCAAUGGAUGCCGGUGUCCUCGUCGUUGAAGAAGCAACUCUGCCAACCACGACUCUCAUGGCCUUGUCUUCUUUCUCUAAUUUUUUCUUAUAGUUUUUGAGAAUAUGAAAUUAAUAUUUUGAAGAUCUUUGCCUGAAACUUUAAAAUUCGGCGAUCUUGUUACCAUUUGCGGCAACUGUGAGGCCAUGGAUGUAGGUGGCUGUCUCUUAAUGAAAGGAAGAUGAGAGG